CCAAUAUACUUAUCACAGUGUGUCCCUGUGGACACUCACACAGAUUGGAUUCAGGGCAGAGUCACUGGAACCACCAUGAAGAGGCACAGGUGACAGAGAUGAAGGUUUGUACAGGAUCUCUGAGGAGUGAACAGGGAGACUUGUCCCAUCGCCUGCCUUUCACGCCUGCGCUGUCCUUGGGAAAGGAAGCAGGCACCACCUGAUUUACCCAGGAGAACUGAGAGGGACCUUGCCCACAAGAGCACGGUUUUCAGAAAACCAAACAUGGAAAUGUGAAGACGCUACCCUGUCUGUGGGCCUCCUGCCGGGCUGUGGGAACAGGAGAGCUGUGAACCCAGGGAAGCAAUAUAAGAAGAGGGCCUACCCAUAAAUUUGCCUAUAUGUCCUGGAGUUGGAGUUAAAGAUGUGGUGCACAGAAUGAAAUGGUGGAAGCUGAAAAUCAGCAGGGCACAGGCAUUGCCUAUUCCUCUCUCCUCCUGCAGCCAGAGUUACG
rnacentral:lncRNA from 1 species